ensembl:lncRNA
AUGUUGGGAGAUAAGAGAACAAACAGUAGUCUGCCGAAGUUUUUUCCUGCCGAAGUUUUUUCCUGCCGAAGUUUUUUCCUGCCGAAGUUUUUUCCUGCCGAAGUUUUUUCCUGCCGAAGUUUUUUCCUGCCGAGUCUCUUACAGCCAGUCUUACAGAGGACUCGGCUUGAAAUACGUAACUACCUGUGUGUAUUACAAGUAAGUGCAAAGUGCAUUAGAUCCACUUUAUGUAGGCAAAUAAUGGGUUCUCUUUAAGUAGAUUACAAAUUUGUCCUGUCUUUUGCUGAGUAUAUGAAUUACUAUUCCAAAGAUUGUGUUAUCUCCAUUGUCACUGGACUGCUAGUAUGGCAUUACAGCAGGUAAUCAUAAUGUUUCAUCUGCUUCCCAGACAGCUUUGAAUUCCUUAGAUGCUUUUUGCAGUGUGCUUCUCUCCACCCUUCUAUUUAUUUAGUUACCUGUUAUUGAAGAAUUCUACCUGAAUUGACUAGCUGAAUGACUUCCAGUGAAGUGGCUCUGGGGAAAAUACCUUUUAAAGACAGCUGCAGAUUGUAGCAGGCUUUGGCAAGGAUUUAGGUGCCUAUAAGCAGUUGUGAUUAUGAUGAAGUAUUAAACUAAAGAGGUUUAAACAUACUGUAAGCACCCUGUUUGUCAAUUUCUGCUUUAAUUUGGAAAGUCCACUUAGGAGAUUGUAAACUGUAUUAGCUGUCAUUGGGUUGUCUCACCCAAGGAAAGCAAUUUAAGAAUUCAUAAAAUGUGUCUUGGAGCUCCUGGUAUGUGCAACAUAAUGGAACUUGCAGUUUUAAUACAAAUUCUAUCAGCGGCUUCCACUGUUGCAUAAACUUAAUUACCACUGAGUGUGUAACACCAGCAAAUAACAAGAGUUAAAUGACAUGUGAUCAAUAAUUCAUUUGUUAGCACAGUAUUGCUUACUGUGAAAUGACCUUGACAGGAACAGUCUUGCAAGUAACUUCCUUUCUUCUUGCCAUGUUAUUAACUGAAGAAAAAAAUUAAAAUUAUACGAAUGUCAUUUUGACUGAUAAACAGAGGAAGUGCUUUUUUUAAUAAAUGGCGAAAAAUCAAACCUGCAGGCUGUGAGCUGCAGGCUGCUACUCUUCUAUUCUAUUGCAUCCUAUCACAGUUUCUAACAGUAGAGUUGGUACGGGAACUGUUUUCAAGAACCAGGAAUACUAUUUGCUGAUAGUAGGUCUCAACUUGGGUUUUUGCAAAUAGCUGCCCUGCAGUGCUGAAUUUAAAACAACUGGGAAAGUGCUCACUGUUAUCUUUCAGAACUAACAGAGCAGCCCAUUUGUAUUGUAUCAUCUUCUUUUCUUGUGGUAUUCUAUGUGUUGUUGCUGGAUGUGUUCAAAACCACACAGCUGCCAGAACUCUUAAUUUGUGGCAGCUGUCUAUGUUUCUGUGUGCGAUUAUAUGUAUAGCUGCUGCAUUCAAGACUCAUUAGCCUGUACUAAUCCACUGAAGUCUGCAUUAAUCUCAACAGGAACUGUGUAAAAAAAUAAAGUGUAAAUUACAGGAGACAUCUUUGCCUGGAUUGUCUUCUGAAUUAUUUGCCACGUUGGUGCUGCACCAGUGUGUUGGGCAUGUAUUGCACAAGUGUGUACUUUUCCUAUGUGGAAGAGGACAAAAAUUUUCAAGGCUUAUAUAUGGGUA